CCCGGCACAAGCGGUGGAGUAUGUGGUUUAAUUCGAUGCAACGCGAAGAACCUUACCUGGUCUUGACAUCCCGGAGACCCUUAGGAAACUAGGGGUGCUUCCAUCUGGAAGAAUCUGGAGACAGGUGCUGCAUGGCUGUCGUCAGCUCGUGUCGUGAGAUGUUGGGUUAAGUCCCGCAACGAGCGCAACCCUUGCCUUUAGUUGCCAGCAGUUCGGCUGGGCACUCUAAAGGGACUGCCGGUGUUAAACCGGAGGAAGGUGGGGAUGACGUCAAGUCCUCAUGGCCUUUAUGACCAGGGCUACACACGUACUACAAUGGCCGAUACAAAGGGCAGCGACACUGCGAGGUGAAGCCAAUCCCGUAAAAUCGGUCUCAGUCCGGAUUGGAGUCUGCAACUCGACUCCAUGAAGUUGGAAUCGUUAGUAAUCGUGGAUCAGCAUGCCACGGUGAAUACGUUCCCGGGCCUU
rnacentral:rRNA from 1 species